UAAACACGGAGGCAGGGACAGCGGCGGCACGGGACAGGGGUGGGGCGGCUGGCAUAGGGAGGGAAGGAGAAAGGAAUGGAGUAAGAGGCAGGAAGGGCCCGGCCGCCAGGCACACAGGCCGCUCGGAGACUUCAAGCGGCCAGCAGCAGCUGAGCUGAGCGUGACAUGCUGUAAGAGUCCUCUGUCGGUGUUCAGGAAUAUAGGGUGUGAGCUGAGGGAAGGGGAGACCAGGCAGGGGGCUUGCAGGGAGGCCAGCGAGAGACGAGGGCAGCCUGGGCAGCAGGCAGAGCUGGAUGCAGUGUGAGGGGCUGGCUUCUGCACCUACUUGGAAGGGGAAGCUGAUUGAAUGUGUGACGCACUCGGCUAGCAGCAUGGAAGGAAGAGAGACCCCAGCUCGUCGAGGGCGUUCUUGGGAUGCCAAGACUCAGGACCCCGCAUGCCACCCAUCUCCUUCCUCUGCUCCCCGGUGUCACCUGUCUCACAAAACAACCAGAAAUCCCUCAAAUAAAACAGAUUCUGU
rnacentral:lncRNA from 1 species